CUAGUAUCAUAAAACUCGUGGCGUUUUAAAUACGUUUAACCAUAUCACGCUCAGAAUAGUAUUCCGUUAGCAAUGAUUUAUCGUUGCAUACAUAUAGAAUUUAAAUACCGCUAAUAUGUAGUAUUCUAUCGUUUCAACGUCCCUUCGAAAACAACGGGAAACCUAUUAACUGUAUCACAUUUAUUUUGUACAUCUGUUUAGUUGUGUAAUCUUCAAAUAUAUUGUCACAAUUUGUCAUAAAAUUAAAAAAAAAACCGUUUCC